GAUGAACGCUGGCGGCGUGCCUAAUACAUGCAAGUCGAGCGAAUGGAUUAAGAGCUUGCUCUUAUGAAGUUAGCGGCGGACGGGUGAGUAACACGUGGGUAACCUGCCCAUAAGACUGGGAUAACUCCGGGAAACCGGGGCUAAUACCGGAUAACAUUUUGAACCGCAUGGUUCGAAAUUGAAAGGCGGCUUCGGCUGUCACUUAUGGAUGGACCCGCGUCGCAUUAGCUAGUUGGUGAGGUAACGGCUCACCAAGGCAACGAUGCGUAGCCGACCUGGAAGGGUGAUCGGCCACACUGGAGCUGAGACACGGCCCAGACUCCUACGGGAGGCAGAAGUAGGGAAUCUUCCGCAAUGGACGAAAGUCUGACGGAGCAACGCCGCGUGAGUGAUGAAGGCUUUCGGGUCGUAAAACUCUGUUGUUAGGGAAGAACAAGUGCUAGUUGAAUAAGCUGGCACCUUGACGGUACCUAACCAGAAAGCCACGGCUAACUACGUGCCAGCCGCCGCCGUAA
rnacentral:rRNA from 1 species